AAGAAUCUACAGGUCGAGCAAGUCUCGUAAAUUUCACGAUUGCGAGCCACGCUUCACGCAACCGUGUUUGCGUACUUGUGUUUCGAGUUGCGUGGUCGUGCGGAGCUAUAUUUACCAAAUUAAUCGUUUCUACUGAUUCAUAAUAAUUAAAUCAAUAUGUCAAUAUGGCUACUGGAUGUAAAAGAUAAAUUUAUUCUAUCUGUUCUUAAUGAGUUUUAGAUAAUUUUAGUUGUAUUUCUUUGUAAUUUUGUGUUGUACAAAGAUUAAUUUAACAUUUUCUCUGGAAGUAUUAAUUUAGAAAGAUAAUAUUAUGCUUCAUUGGUGUUGUGUUUUGAAGUGUGAAAUGCAAAGUAUGUAAUUGUGAUAAAGUCAAGAUAAAGUUCACUUUUAAACUGAACUAAAGAAGGUAUCUGAGAGACAACAAUGGUUAAAUGCAAUACAAUGUACAGGUUUUGCUAGCGAAAUGAAAAUUUUCCUGUCCUGUCUGCUGUAAUCAUUUUAUAUCUGGAAAACCAGCCGACUUAAUCGAUAAUAUCAAUCUCCAGAUUGGGUUCCUUCAAUAAAUAUGGGCUAUAAACACAAUGAAAUAAGUUCCCCAAAAUCUAAAAUGGAGUGGUAUCAAAGGAGAAUUAAAGGGAAAAAUAUUCAUAUUGAAAUUAUUUAUAAGGCACUGGACUGUCUUAAAUUCUACAAUAAUACUAGAAUCAGCUGAGAGAAGUGGUCUACAAAAAACCAGAAAGGAAACGGAAUAUGUGGCUACGAAAAGCAAAAGAAAGGUUUACAAAGCAAAUGUGACACAUUUUUUUAUAAUAUUUAGGAAUGUCAGUAAAUUACAUUAAAAAAUGUAUGUAAAGAUUUUUUGCAAUAAAAAUGUUUAUAUUUAUCAAGGAUGUAUUAUUUGGUAUGGCCACAUAUCGUCAGUGAUGUGACAAUACCUCCUAUCUGUUUUUUUCAAGAGAUUUGUAAGAUAGACUAAAAACUUGUUUCGGCCACCUCCUGUUUUCAUAUAUUUUUUGACUUGUUUUGCAGUAAAUUCAACUAUCUAUUUACUACAAAAAAGUCAGAAUACGUACGAAAACAGAAAGUGACCUUAAAAAAUGUUUUUCGUCUCCUGCAAACCUCAUGAAAAAACAUAUAGGAGGUAUUGUCACAUUACUGACGAUAUAUUUCAGUGAAUGUCUAAAAAAUAUACUGUGAAUGUUCAAAGAACGUUCGUAGACAUUCAUGGA